UACGAAGGUGGCAAGCGUUGUUCGGAUUUACUGGGCGUACAGGGAGCGUAGGCGGUCCGGUAAGUCGUUGUGAAAGUCGGGGGCUCAACCCUCGGAUGCCGAUCGAUACUGUCGGGCUAGAGUCCGGAAGAGGCGAGUGGAAUUCCUGGUGUAGCGGUGAAAUGCGCAGAUAUCAGGAGGAACACCAAUGGCGAAGGCAGCUCGCUGGGACGGUACUGACGCUGGAGGCGCGAAAGCGUGGGAGCAAACGGG
rnacentral:rRNA from 1 species